UACGUGGGGGGCAAGCGUUGUUCGGAAUUACUGGGCGUAAAGGGCUUGUAGGCGGCCAACUAAGUCCGACGUGAAAUCCCCAGGCUUAACCUGGGAACUGCGUCGGAUACUGGAUGGCUUGAAUUCGGGAGAGGGGUGCAGAAUUCCAGGUGUAGCGGUGAAAUGCGUAGAUAUCUGGAGGAAUACCGGUGGCGAAGGCGGCAUCCUGGACCGACAUUGACGCUGAGGAGCGAAAGCUAGGGGAGCAAACGGG
rnacentral:rRNA from 1 species